UACGUAGGGUGCAAGCGUUGUCCGGAAUUAUUGGGCGUAAAGAGCUCGUAGGCGGUCUGUCGCGUCGGCUGUGAAAACUCGGGGCUCAACUCCGAGCUUGCAGUCGAUACGGGCAGGCUAGAGUUCGGUAGGGGAGACUGGAAUUCCUGGUGUAGCGGUGAAAUGCGCAGAGUAUCAGGAGGAACACCGGUGGCGAAGGCGGGUCUCUGGGCCGAUACUGACGCUGAGGAGCGAAAGCGUGGGAGCGAACGG
rnacentral:rRNA from 1 species